UACGAAGGGGGCUAGCGUUGUUCGGAUUUACUGGGCGUAAAGCGCACGUAGGCGGAUCGUUAAGUCGGGGGUGAAAUCCUGGAGCUCAACUCCAGAACUGCCUUCGAUACUGGCGAUCUUGAGUCCGGAAGAGGUGAGUGGAACUCCUAGUGUAGAGGUGGAAUUCGUAGAUAUUAGGAAGAACACCAGUGGCGAAGGCGGCUCACUGGCCCGAUACUGACGCUGAGGCGCGAAAGCGUGGGGGAGCAAACAGG
rnacentral:rRNA from 1 species